AGUGGAAUAAAUGGGUCAAAUGGUGUUUACACUCUAGUUUUUCUGAGGAAUCUCCAUACUCUUUCCCAUAGUGAUUGCACCAAUUUGCAGUCCCACCAUCAAU
rnacentral:pre_miRNA from 1 species